rnacentral:sRNA from 1 species
AAAUUGCCACACGAAUGAGCCACACAAAAUACACUAACCCUAAGGAAUUUCACUAAACAAAUGGAGAUUACAAAAGAGUGUUUAAACUCUCACAACCCAAAUCCCACAAAUUACAAACCCUAAACCAAACGAGUAGAGAACUCAAACAAACGGAGAAGAUUCUCCCAAAUUGCUCUCCAACUCACAAACUAGCAAAUUGACUUCACCAAAUUGCCACACGAAUGAGCCACACAAAAUACACUAACCCUAAGGUCCUAUUUAUAGUGCAUAGGACUUAGGUUACAAUAAGAAUCCUAAUAGAAAGUAAAUCCAAAUCCUAAUCAAAUAGGUAAUUAACAAAAUCUCUCCACCAAGGAAACCAACUAAGAAGUCAAAACCAAACCCAAAUAGGACACCAAAACCAAAUAGGCAACACAAACCUAAU